GUGCUCAUUUCAACAGCAUAUACAUUAAGAUUGGAAUGAUAUAGAAAACGUGAGCAUGGCCCCUGUGUGGUAUGAUAAGAAGAUUUAUUAAGCGUUCUCUAUUUUU